CGCCCUAAAAGCUAAUUGGAAAGCAACUAA
rnacentral:tRNA from 1 species